rnacentral:rRNA from 1 species
UACGUAGGGUGCGAGCGUUGUCCGGAAUUAUUGGGCGUAAAGAGCUCGUAGGCGGCUUGUCGCGUCGGAUGUGAAAGCCCGGGGCUUAACUCCGGGUCUGCAGUCGAUACGAGCAAACUAGAGUGUUGCAGGGGAGACUGGAAUUCCUGGUGUAGCGGUGAAAUGCGCAGAUAUCAGGAGGAACACCGGUGGCGAAGGCGGGUCUCUGGGCAACAACUGACGCUGAGGAGCGAAAGCGUGGGGAGCGAACAGG